GUUUGAUCCUGGCUCAGGACGAACGCUGGCGGCGUGCCUAAUGCAUGCAAGUCGCACGCAGGGUGCUUGCACUCUGAGUGGCGCACGGCUGAGAAUCACGUGGGAACAUGCCUCCUUGUGGGGGACAACACCGCGAAAGCGGUGCUAAUCCCGCAUACGCUCGGCAACGAGGAAAGCGGUAACGCGCAGGGAGAGUGGCCCGCGGCCCAUCAAGUCGUUGGUGGGGUAAUGGCCUACCAAGCCGAUGACGGGUAGCUGGUCUGUGAGGACAGACAGCCAGACUGGGACUGAGACACGGCCCAGACUCCUACGGGAGGCAGCAGCAAGGAAUUUUCGUCAAUGGGCGCAAGCCUGAACGAGCAACGCCGCGUGGAGGAUGACGGCCUUCGGGUUGUAAACUCCUUUUGGGGGGGACGAUAAUGACGGUACCCCUUGAAUAAGGCUCGGCUAACUCUGUGCCAGCAGCCGCGGUAAUACAGAGGAGCCAAGCGUUGUCCGGAUUGACUGGGCGUAAAGCGCACGCAGGCGGAUGCGCGCGUGGGGUGUGAAAUCUGGCCGCUUAACGGCCAGGCGCCAUCCCAUACGGCGCGUCUGGAGCGAUGCA
rnacentral:rRNA from 1 species